UCGUCAAGAAAAAAAUUCUUGAUAUCAUCUCUUCCGCUUUAAUUGAUAGUUUGAAGGAGUAUCCAGAAUUACUUUCUCAAGAAAAAAACAUGAUUUACAGCAUGAAACCUAACAAAGAAAAUCUUUUUAAUCCAGCAAAGAAACAACAGAUAGCGAUAUCAAGUAGAAACGAAGAGAAAAAGAAGCUUCCAUAAAUUAAAAUUUCAAGAAUCACAAUUUUUCACAGCAGGAGAGAGAAAAAAAGAGAUAAUUCGUUUCUGUUUUUCUUCCAUAUCUUCAUUAUAAAAGGCAUUUAGGAUAAUUAUCUAUCGUCUUUAUAUAUCAUCAUAGGAAAGCAAGCACUUACUUAUCCUCACUCGAUGAUAAGUUGUUUGCUGCACACGAAACUUUCACCUUAUUGCAUGCACCAAAGGAAUAGUCAAGCCCGGAAUUACAGAGAAAUUUAAUAUCUUCCAUAUUUGUUUAAACUAUUGACACGUUUACUAUUUCGCAUAGAAAUAAAUAAUCUUUUAAAAAAUAAAAUUAUGUUGUUAUCU